rnacentral:rRNA from 1 species
GGCGGCGUGCUUAACACAUGCAAGUCGAGCGAUGAAGUUUCUUCGGAAAUGGAUUAGCGGCGAACGGGUGAGGAACACGUGAAGAAUCUGCCCUCCACUUUGGGAUAACACCGGGAAACCGGUGCUAAUACCGAAUAUUGAAACAUAAGUGGCAUCACUGAGUUUUGAAAGAAUUUCGGUGGAGGAUGACUUCGCGGCCUAUCAGCUAGUUGGCGGGGUAAUGGCCCACCAAGGCAACGACGGGUAGCUGGUCUGAGAGGAUGGUCAGCCACACUGGGACUGAGACACGGCCCAGACUCCUACGGGAGGCAGCAGUGGGGAAUCUUGCGCAAUGGGCGAAAGCCUGACGCCAGCAACGCCGCGU